rnacentral:rRNA from 1 species
CAUAAGGCAGGUAUCCUGCACUGAAUCCGAUAGGUGCAGGAGGCGAACCAGGGGAACUGAAACAUCUAAGUACCUGAGGAAAAGAAAUCAACCGAGAUCCCUUAGUAGCGGCGAGCGAACGGGGACCAGCCCUUAAGCACAGUGAGUUCUAGUGGAAUGCUCUGGAAAGUGCAGCCGUAGAAAGUGAUAGCCUUGUACACGAAAGGGCUCAUUGUGUGAAAUCGAGUAGGACGGGACACGUGUUAUCCUGUCUGAAUAUGGGGGGACCAUCCUCCAAGGCUAAAUACUCCUCGUUGACCGAUAGUGAACCAGUACCGUGAGGGAAAGGCGAAAAGAACCGCGGUGAGCGGAGUGAAAUAGAUCCUGAAACCGUAUGCGUACAAGCAGUAGGAGCCCUUCGGGGUGACUGCGUACCUUUUUGUAUAAUGGGUCAGCGACUUACUGUCAGUGGCAAGCUUAACCGUAUAGGGGAG